AUGGUUAAACGUCGAUAUAACUUCACAAGAUGUGAUGGUACAGGAUCACAUGGUUGAUGUAAGGUGCUUCUAAGGGAGCUAAUGCUACAGACCAGCAUAAUUGUUAUAGUCCAUAUUUUGUUUCCUCUCAUAGCGUGAACAAAACUUGAGUCAGGUAGUAAGUUUGAUGAUAAAGUUCUGUGUUGUAUUCUGCGACGUUACCAUUCGGAUUCGCGUGCAACUUUUGCCAUUAAUUACCCUGCCAACCUCUUGAUUCAGUAGCAAAGAGGAAACAAAGAUUGCAAAUUAAUCUUUUAUCUUCUUAGCAUAUGAAGUGAGCUUAGGUUUUGGAAUUCAGAUCGCCAACGACGAAACAAUGCUGAUACUUAAAGAAAUUGCUGUUCGAUUACUGGACAAGAUUUAUAUGUGUGUGAAGAGUUGAGAAAA